GGGCCGUAGCUCAGCUGGGAGAGCACCUGCUUUGCAAGCAGGGGGUCGUCGGUUCGAUCCCGUCCGGCUCCACCA
rnacentral:tRNA from 6 species